GGACUACUGGGGUUUCUAAUCCUGUUUGCUACCCACGCUUUCGCACCUCAGCGUCAGUUACGGGCCAGGUGGCCGCCUUCGCCACCGGUGUUCCUCCAGAUAUCUACGGAUUUCACCCCUACACCUGGAAUUCCGCCACCCUCUCCCGUACUCAAGUUAAGCAGUUUCAAAGGCAGUUCCGCGGUUAAGCCGCGGGAUUUCACCCCUGACUUACAAAACAGCCUACGCGCGCUUUACGCCCAGUAAUUCCGAUUAACGCUCGCACCCUCCGUAUUACCGCGGCUGCUGGCAC
rnacentral:rRNA from 1 species